CUUACACCUGAAAAAUGUCUGCCAACACCAGAUCGUCUCGAUGCCAAACUCUAGCCCAAUCGACAUGACCUAGAAUAACAAAGCUACUCCAUACACCCAACUAAAGCAUUUACUAGUCUUAGUAUAGGCGAUAGAAAAGACACCAUUGGAGCGAUAGAGACUACGUACCGUAAGGGAAAGAUGAAAUAUUAGUGAAAUAAACUAAGCUAAAAACAGCAAAGAUCAACCCUUGUACCUUUUGCAUCAUGGUCUAGCAAGAAAAACCAAGCAAAAUGAAUUUAAGUUUGCCAUCCCGAAACCCAAGCGAGCUACUUACGAGCAGCUAUUUUGAGCGAACCCGUCUCUGUAGCAAAAGAGUGGGAUGACUUGUUAGUAGAGGUGAAAAGCCAAUCGAGCUGGGUGAUAGCUGGUUGCCUGUGAAACGAAUCUUAGUUCACUCUUAAUUCUUCUCCAAGGAAACCACAAAAACCCUAAUGAAGCGAAUUAAGGGCAAUUUAAAGGGGGUACAGCUCCUUUAAAAAAGAAUACAAUCUCUACGAGCGGAUAAGUAAUAAUUUACCAAACAUACUGUGGGCCCUCAAGCAGCCAUCAACAAAGAGUGCGUUAAAGCUCCACCUCCUAAAAAUAUAAGAACAAUACGACUCCCUCCUCAUUAACAGGCUAACCUAUAUCUAGAUAGGAGAAUUAAUGCUAGAAUGAGUAACCUGGGUCCUCCCUCUACGACGCAAGCUUACAUCGGCACAUUAUUAACAAACCACCAAUAUACGACUAAUCAAACAAGCAGAGUAUUAAGCACAUUGUUAACCCGACAGAGGAGCGUCCA
rnacentral:rRNA from 1 species